rnacentral:rRNA from 1 species
AUUGAACGCUGGCGGCAGGCCUAACACAUGCAAGUCGAGCGGAUGAAGGGAGCUUGCUCCUGGAUUCAGCGGCGGACGGGUGAGUAAUGCCUAGGAAUCUGCCUGGUAGUGGGGGAUAACGUCCGGAAACGGGCGCUAAUACCGCAUACGUCCUGAGGGAGAAAGUGGGGGAUCUUCGGACCUCACGCUAUCAGAUGAGCCUAGGUCGGAUUAGCUAGUUGGUGGGGUAAAGGCCUACCAAGGCGACGAUCCGUAACUGGUCUGAGAGGAUGAUCAGUCACACUGGAACUGAGACACGGUCCAGACCCCUCCGGGAGGCAGCAGUGGGGAAUAUUGGACGAAGGGCGAAAGCCUGAUCCAGCCAUGCCGCGUGUGUGAAGAAGGUCUUCGGAUUGUAAAGCACUUUAAGUUGGGAGGAAGGGCAGUAAGUUAAUCCCUUGCUGUUUUGACGUUACCAACAGAAUAAGCACCGGCUAACUUCGUG